rnacentral:rRNA from 1 species
UACGUAGGGGGCUAGCGUUGUCCGGAAUUAUUGGGCGUAAAGGGCUCGUAGGCGGUCUGUCACGUCGAAAGUGAAAACUCAGGGCUUAACCCUGAGCCUGCUUCCGAUACGGGCAGACUAGAGGUAUGCAGGGGAGAAUGGAAUUCCUGGUGUAGCGGUGAAAUGCGCAGAUAUCAGGAGGAACACCAGUGGCGAAGGCGGUUCUCUGGGCAUUACCUGACGCUGAGGAGCGAAAGUGUGGGGAGCGAACAGG